AUGGACACAAGGGCCCCCACUCAGCUCCUGGGGCUCCUGCUACUCUGGCUCCUAGGUGCCAGCUGUGCCAUCCAGAUGACCCAGUCUCCAUCCUCCCUGUCAGCAUCUCUAGGAGACACAGUCACCAUCAGGUGCCAGGCCAGUCAAGGCAUUAACAAUGAGUUAAACUGGUAUCAGCAGAAACCAGGGGCAUCUCCCAAGCUGCUGAUCUAUGCUGCAUCUACUUUGCAAUCUGGGGUUCCCUCAAGGUUCAGUGGCAGUGGAUACGGAACAGAUUUCACUCUCACCAUCAGCGGACUACAGGCUGAAGAUGCUGCAACUUAUUACUGUCAAAACGAUUAUGGUACACCUCACAGUGUUACAAGCCUGAACAUAAACCCCCAGGGGAAGAAACUGUGUAAGGCUGGGCUGACCCAGCUGUUCCUCCUGGUGACUCCAUCUGCUGAGUGCAUUUCUCAGAGACAACAAGGCUCUGAAGGUCCCUGGGGGUGGGGGGGUGGGGGUGAUAAACGGGGCCUGGAGGCUCCUCUCCUCUCUAAGCUUCUCUUCUCUUCUUCAACCCAUAGAAACACUGACAUAGCAGUGACUAUCCUGUUUUAA